rnacentral:lncRNA from 1 species
UUUUUUUUUAAAAUCCAUACGUAAAUUACUCUACAAAUUGUACGAUUUUUCUAGUACCCCAAUACCACCCCGAGCUCUCUACCGUAUGAUUUCUCAAAAGCAUAGUUAUCAAUAAUGAUUUGAGAUCAGACUAGCCACGUAAUCAACGAGGAAACUGGCCCAAUUAGAAUUGGUUUAACCACUAGUCAAAAUGGUUAGAUUAAAUUUUAAUAAAAUAAAAUUAAAAUGAGAAAAUAAAAAAUAUAUUAUAAAAAACUUUCAGAUAGUUAAACCCACUAAAACCGGUUGGUUAGAUACUUAUUUUGACCAAUUUUCACUCGAAAAUUUGUUUUGCUUCUAUCGGACUUGUUAAGGCACUGACAAUAUGAAUUAUCAAAUUGAGUGGUCCGAUCUAAUAUUGAUAACUAAACUCUACUACCCAUCUGCUUCUCUCUCUAUAAGACCAAACCCCUAUCUUGCUUUUGAAUAGACUUUAGUCAAGAAUUAUGCGAUGUUUUAAACCCCUAUUUGUUUUUGGUUAUACUUUAUCUCUCACUAUUUCUUGCUUUUGAAUGGAUUUUAGUCUAGAAUUAUGUGAUGUUUUUAAAAGAUGACCUAAACCACAAGGAGCUCCCUACAAGUUUGGUACCUUUCUCUCUCUGCUCUCUCUCGCUCUUGGUUUUAUUUUUUUCUCUCUAUUUCUUGGUUGGAAUCGGUUAUAGAUGAUGGGUAGAGCAGUAACAAUAUUGACCCUGUCAAAAAAGUAAUUUAACUAAUUUUCACCUUAAAUUCUCUCUCCUCUUGUAGUCGAGUUGGUGGCUUGGUGCCUCUUUUCCUCUCUCUAAAACCAACUCUCUCUUUAGUCGACUUAUGUCACUAGUUAUUGAUGAUGUUGAAUGCAGUACGAGUUAUGGCUUUAUGUGGUACAUUUUUGUUCUCUUAUUGAAGACAGACCCUGGUAGUUACUGCAUCCACAUUAGGACUUAAAACUCGAAAAUUGAUACAAGGUUGUAAUUUUAUUUAUAGAAGUAAGAUUGCAAUAAUCUACUUCAUUUUUAUUUUAAUGGUUUCGAUUUGAUUUUAUUUUAAAAGACAUUUUUUGUUUAUAUUACGUUCAAAGACGUGAUAAAUCUAUAUCGUUCAACUAAAAUAAAUUGUAUAAAAUAUUGUAAUCUUACUUAUACAAAUAUGAUUGCCACAUCAUACAACCGCUUUGGAUAGGAAAAUUUGGGUAUAUAGGCUAAUCUUUGUCUAGCUUUGGGACUUGUUUUGGUUCAAAGCGAAAUGAGGCGAGUUACUCAACAAGGGCGGUCCUACUAGAAAGAAUUGCUGGAUUCCCAACUAUUCUAUUUUUUUAUUUUUAAGCUUUUUAAUUUAAAAUACUAAAAGUUUAUAUAAAAAAGAAAAAAAGGAAAUUAAGAUACAAUUAAAAUUUUAUUUAGUUGCAAAUAUUUCAAAAAUGAAUUAACAAAGUAAAAAGUUAAAGACAAUAAAAUACAACACGAAAUUUUUGGAAAUCGAUGCUUAGUAUGAAAGCAAUAAAGCAAUGAGCUUUGCCC